GAGAGCCGGAUGCGCUGAGAGGUGCAAGUCCGGUUCGGGAAGGAGAGGCAAGGAAAUAGUUUGACUACGCCUUGUCUCUUACUUUAC
rnacentral:ncRNA from 1 species